AUAAUGGUGUCUUUAGACACCACCUUUGUUUUUAAAAAAAUUCCUU
rfam:Picea glauca, whole genome shotgun sequence.